AAACAAAUCAUUUUUUUUUUAAAUUAAUGACAAGUCGUCUCAGUGCAACACUUGGAAUAAUAUUAUUAUUGUGUAAAGGAGACUUUCAUUAUACUUUGCAACGCGUUUCUCGCUUCAAUGAAGUCCAACUCUCAUUUGGUGCCGCUUCUCCCGCCCCCCCCGCCAUACCCCUUCAUAAAUCAACCUCCGGAGACGAGAUGGUGACUCACCGCCACGAAGAAUGGCAAAGCGCAUCGAGUGGACACUCAUAAUUUUCCAUCUGAGGGAGAGGCAGCAUCCGUCUUCUUUCGCAUCAGACUCACAAGACUGAAGACAAGCGAGCACAGCUGGAGGUUAAGUGCAGGUGACGACACGACGAACACUUCCAUCCGUCGUUGUCAGUUCUCGGACGAGAUGUGUCGUUGGCAAAAGAGAGGGGAAGGGCUUUGUUAUUUAGCAUGUGCGGGUGUUGUCACUGUAGGAGUGCGCGACGCCAGCAGCUGUGGUGGGGGGUGGGAGAGGGCUAAUCACGGCCCCGGUGGGCCCCACGCAAGCGAAACUGCAGCACUUUAAAUCUUCUCAACACCUUUAAUGGCAGCCCCCUCAUUAAAAUUUACGUGUCAAAUCACAAGAUUGAUUUCUCCCUCGUAACGCUGCGGCAAUCGUAGUUCAUGGAAAUGGUGUUAUUUUAUGCAAUCGGUGGGCCCCAGACGCCGUCAAGAGGUCUUAUUUCAAGCAUAAAAAUUGCAUUUUUGGAAAGGGUACAUAGCUAAUUAGCCCCAUGUGGGAUGAAAGGCGUUCCGUUGCCAUGGGACUUAUCAAAUUGCGUACAUGGUGAUUAUGAUCAAUGAUGAUGAAGCUGUACCCCGGGAAUGACCUGAAAUUCAAUUUAAUGCUCUUAUUUUGAAACAUAAACAGGUGGGAAAAGAUGAUUAAUAAAUGUAAGAAAAACUGUUAUUGCUAGAACUAAGU